GGUCGAGACAAGGCCGUAAACAUCUACACUGACCGGCGGUAUGCAUUCGCCACUGCCCAUGUGCAUGGCGACAUCUACAGACAGAGAGGGCUAUUGACAUCAGAAGGGAAAACUAUCAAAAAAUUUAAAAAAUUUUUGGCCUUAUUGGAGACAAUUUGGAAACCCAGGGCAUUGGCUGUUAUUCAUUACAAAAGCCACCAAAAAAAAAGACAGCUUCGAGGCCCACGGUAACCGAGAGGCCAAUGAUGCAGCCUGAUGAGUGGCCAGGGAACCAGUGGGGCCAAUAGAGAUUCUGCCCAUCCGACCCUUUGGCUACCUGCUAGAAAGACCCAAAUAUACCCCGGAAGAGGACGAGGAAAACCAAAAGCGAGGGGGUACAAAACUGGACUCAGGCUGGUGGAAAGGGACAAACGAAUAAGUUUGUCUCCCCUGAGCCCUGGGGUGACAACUUGUUCAUAAGUUACAUCACUUAACUCACCUGGGAAAAUCAGUUCAAAAGACUAAUGAGCUCUAAGUUUUCAAUCCCACGACUGACCUCUGUGGUCCAGGACAUCAGUUCCAGGUGUCAGGUGUGUACACAGGCCUUACAGAUUCUUCAGAGUGAGAUCCAGGCUACAAUACAACAGGCUCGAGAAAAAAAAAACAACCUUUGCGACGUUCCAGCCUCAUGCUUUCAAGCCAGGAGACCUGGUCCUGAUAUGCUUGGUUUGCUUGCACCAAGGACUUGACUAAAUACAUUCCCAAAUCAGUCUUGGCUACCCAAUCUGCCACUUUAUUUUGUGUCACCGUGUAUGUUGUUCCACAAGUCUUGUAUUAUAAUGGAAAAAGGGGGCCAUGAACAUCUGGGAUUAACCACUGAACACUAUAGGAGUAAAUGGGCUGCCCCCGUUUUAGUGCCCAUUCUGGUGGGAUUAGGAAUAGCUGGGUAGUAGCUAUUGGAACUUCCUCCCUGACCCUUCAGGACACAAAUUUUAAAGCCCUAAGCCACCAAGUAGCCAGAGAUUUGGGUCACCUGAAAGACUUGAUCUCCAGAUUUAAAAAAACCAGGUUGAUUCCCUAGCUGAGAUGGUCCUGCAAAAUCAAAGGGGACUUGACCUCCUGUUUAUAAAACAAGGAGUGUUAUAUGUAGCCCUAGAAAAAAACCUGUUGCUUCUAUGCUAAUCAGUCUGGUGUCAUUAGAGAUACCUUAGCUAUAGUUAGGGAAAAUUUAAAGACUAAAUAUGCUCAACAAAGGGAUCAACAUUGGUUUCAAAAUCUAUUUGACUUGUCCCCACGGUUAACUACCCUACUUUCUGCUGUAGCAGACCCCUUAGUUAUCUUCUGCUUUUGCUCGUGGGAUCUUACAUUAUAAAUGCUCUGACUAAAUAUGUUAGACAGAGGGUUGAUGCAGUUAAACUGAUGGUGUUGAGACAAAAUUAUGAGAUUUAAAACAUGUUUUAGAAAAAAAAUCUGAAAAAUAAAUACAGAAAUCAAAGAUUUGAUUAGGUUACAAGAACCAGUGGGGAAUGAAGGACCCUAGUUAGCAAGACAGACUCCAUAUUGCUGCUUGACCCACCUGCCUGCCCUUUAGAUGAACUCAGAAGGAGGAAGCUUAAAAACCUCCUCCCCUUAGAAAGUCUCUUUAGAAAUAACAGUUAAUCAACUAUUGUUUUACAAAUGUUCUGCUUCUGUACCUUUUGCUUGCUUUACUAGUUCUAUCCCAUGGGGGGCCUAGAAACUGCUGGCCUCAAAGGUGUAUAAAACGUUUGUCUCCCGCAGUCUGGGCUCAAGUCCGAUGCUCAGCUCGGUCCCGGCCAGUAAUAAACUCCUGUGUGGAUUUAAUAUUGGUCUCUGGUUGGUUCUCUCUCACUGGGUGUAACAGUGCAGGUGGUUGCAUUGUUUAAAGCCAACUCCCAUCUGCUCAUGGGGAGAGAGAAAGGUACUGGUGACCACAAAUCGUCUCUCAUAAUGGGUGCCCGCCCAUCAGAAUCAGGAGCAACCAGUGAAGGCUGCAAGCAGUCCCAGUUAGGGAGGGCACACUCUAUAUUUUAAAUUAAUUGAGCCUGGGUUCAGGUUGUGUGCAACGGUUUUAAGUAGAUGGAUGGACAGCAAUGCAAAGCCAUUGGAUGUAGAAAUUGGGCCAGAAUACAUUGGCCAAUGCACCCCACAUGCAAUUUGCACCAGAGUGAC
rnacentral:lncRNA from 1 species